GCUGGCAUAGCUCAGUUGGCAGAGCGACGCACUCGUAAUGCGUAGGUCGCCGGUUCAAGUCCGGCUCCCAGCCCCA
rnacentral:tRNA from 1 species